CUCCUUGACGUUAGCGGCGGACGGGUGAGUAACACGUGGGUAACCUACCUAUAAGACUGGGAUAACGUUCGGGAAACCGGAGCUAAUACCGGAUAAUAUUUCGAACCGCAUGGUUCGAUAGUGAAAGGUGGUUUUGCUAUCACUUAUAGAUGGACCCGCGCCGUAUUAGCUAGUUGGUAAGGUAACGGCUUACCAAGGCGACGAUACGUAGCCGACCUGAGAGGGUGAUCGGCCACACUGGAACUGAGACACGGUCCAGACUCCUACGGGAGGCAGCAGUU
rnacentral:rRNA from 1 species